CCAAUAGCGUAUAUUAAAGUUGUUGCAGUUAAAAAGCUCGUAGUUGAAUUUCGGGGUUCCACCGUUGGUCGGGCUAUUGUCUGUACUGGCGUGUGGAAUUUCUACCUUCUGGGGAACUAUCAUGUUAUUAAUUUAGCGUGGUAGGAAACCAGGACCUUUACCUUGAAAAAAUUAGAGUGUUCAAAGCAGGCUUAUGUCUGAAUACAUUAGCAUGGAAUAAUAAAAUAGGACGGUGGUCCUGUUUUGUUGGUUUCUGAAUCACCGUAAUGAUUAAUAGGGAUAGUUGGGGGCAUUAGUAUUCAAUUGUCAGAGGUGAAAUUCUUGGAUUUAUUGAAGACUAACUACUGCGAAAGCAUUUGCCAAGGAUGUUUUCAUUAAUCAAGAACGAAAGUUAGGGGAUCGAAGACGAUCAGAUACCGUCGUAGUCUUAACCAUAAACUAUGCCGACUAGGGAUCGGACGAUGUUAACUUUUCUUGACUCGUUCGGCGCCUUACG
rnacentral:rRNA from 1 species